CGGGGAGGUAGUGACGAAAAAUAACGAUACGGGACUCAUCCGAGGCCCCGUAAUCGGAAUGAGCACAUUUUAAAUCCUUUAACGAGGACCAAUUGGAGGGCAAGUCUGGUGCCAGCAGCCGCGGUAAUUCCAGCUCCAAUAGCGUAUAUUAAAGUUGUUGCGGUUAAAAAGCUCGUAGUUGAAUCUGUGUGUCACAGUGUCAGUUCAUCGCUCGCGGUGUUCAACUGGCAUUAUGUGGUACGUCCUACCGGUGGAUUUAGCUCCUUAAGAGGGAGCGGUCCAACCAAUAUCCCAUCGCGGUGCUCUUGACUGAGUGUCGAGGUGGGCCGGUACGUUUACUUUGAACAAAUUAGAGUGCUCAAAGCAGGCUACCUUCGCCUGAAUAUUCUGUGCAUGGAAUAAUGAAAUAGGACCUCGGUUCUAUUUUGUUGGUUUUCGGAACUCCGAGGUAAUGAUUAAUAGGGACAGAUGGGGGCAUUCGUAUUGCGACGUUAGAGGUGAAAUUCUUGGAUCGUCGCAAGACGGACAGAAGCGAAAGCAUUUGCCAAAAAUGUUUUCAUUAAUCAAGAACGAAAGUUAGAGGUUCGAAGGCGAUCAGAUACCGCCCUAGUUCUAACCAUAAACGAUGCCAGCUAGCGAUCCGCCGAAGUUCCUCCGAUGACUCGACGGGCAGCUUCCGGGAAACCAAAGCUUUUGGGUUCCGGGGGAAGUAUGGUUGCAAAGCUGAAACUUAAAGGAAUUGACGGAAGGGCACCACCAGGAGUGGAGCCUGCGGCUUAAUUUGACUC
rnacentral:rRNA from 1 species